rnacentral:rRNA from 1 species
GGGCCCGCACAAGCGGUGGAGUAUGUGGUUUAAUUCGAUGCAACGCGAAGAACCUUACCAGGGUUUGACAUCCUGCGAAUCUCUUGGAAACGAGAGAGUGCCUUCGGGAACGCAGUGACAGGUGGUGCAUGGCUGUCGUCAGCUCGUGUCGUGAGAUGUUGGGUUAAGUCCCGCAACGAGCGCAACCCACGUCGUUAGUUGCCAGCAUUUAGUUGGGCACUCUAGCGAGACCGCCGGUGAUAAACCGGAGGAAGGUGUGGAUGACGUCAAGUCAUCAUGCCCCUUACAUCCUGGGCUACACACGUACUACAAUGCUACGGACAAAGGGCAGCAAACUCGCGAGAGCUAGCAAAUCCCAAAACCCCAUCUCAGUUCGGAUCGGAGUCUGCAACUCGACUCCGUG